GAAGAACGCUGGCGGCGUGCCUAAUACAUGCAAGUCGAGCGAACAGACGAGGAGCUUGCUCCUUUGACGUUAGCGGCGGACGGGUGAGUAACACGUGGGUAACCUACCUAUAAGACUGGGAUAACUUCGGGAAACCGGAGCUAAUACCGGAUAAUAUUUCGAACCGCAUGGUUCGAUAGUGAAAGAUGGCUUUGCUAUCACUUAUAGAUGGACCUGCGCCGUAUUAGCUAGUUGGUAAGGUAACGGCUUACCAAGGCAACGAUACGUAGCCGACCUGAGAGGGUGAUCGGCCACACUGGAACUGAGACACGGUCCAGACUCCUACGGGAGGCAGCAGUAGGGAAUCUUCCGCAAUGGGCGAAAGCCUGACGGAGCAACGCCGCGUGAGUGAUGAAGGUCUUCGGAUCGUAAAACUCUGUUAUUAGGGAAGAACAAACGUGUAAGUAACUGUGCACGUCUUGACGGUACCUAAUCAGAAAGCCACGGCUAACUACGUG
rnacentral:rRNA from 1 species